CUUUGAACGCACCUUGCGCCCUUUGGCUAUUCCGAAGGGCAUGCCUGUUUGAGUAUCAUGAACACCUCAACUCUCAUGGUCCGCCAUGAUGAGCUUGGACUUUGGGGGUCUUGCUGGCAUAGCCGUCGGCUCCUCUCAAAUGAAUCAGCUUGCCAGUGUUUGGUGGCGUCACAGGUGUGAUAACUAUCUACGCUUGUGCUCUUCCAUCAGGUUACCUUCAGUAAUGGGGGUUCGCUGGAGCUCACAGACGUCUCUCCUCAGGGAGGACAGCUUUUUAAUGUUUGAUCUCAAAUCAGGUAGGACUACCCGCUGAACUUAAGCAUAUCAAUAAGCGGAGGAAAAGAAACUAACAAGGAUUCCCCUAGUAACUGCGAGUGAAGCGGGAAGAGCUCAAAUUUAAAAUCUGGCGUGCCUCUGGUCGUCCGAGUUGUAGUCUGGAGAAGCGUUUUCCGUGCUGGACCGU
rnacentral:misc_RNA from 1 species